CUGUCUCUCUCUCUCUCUCUCUCUCUCUGUCUCUCUCUCUCUCUUUUUCAUUGCCAUGUCUUGAUUUACAUGAAUACGAGUGCUGGUGCUAGAGAUCCAAACUCAAGUCUAUGUACUUGUGCACCAAACCGUUCCCCAGCCCCUAAUCCAAGCAUUAAUAAAGCCUGGUAAGGGGACUUCCUUUCUGGGUCAACAGAGUAAAUUAGCCUUCUGCAGGUCAUACAGUGUAAAAACACUCCGUAAUAGUUUGCAUAUAAUUCUAAUGUUCUACUGGUAGACCCAUUCUCUCUGUGAACAUCUGUGCCUAUAUUAACAUUUUUGCAACAGAAAUUCCUUGCGUGGACAAAACAGUAAAUCCAGAUACAACAGAUGCAUAGUCUAUGACAGCGGGUACCAAGAUGAAAGCAUACUUACAUCAAUAAAAACGCUGCUGCAAGGACCUCCAUAUAAAUAUGUUUAAGAUAGUAGUGAAUUAGAUUAAAUAUAAUUACUAUAUCUUUGAGACAGGUUCUUGCUGUGAAGUCCAAACAGGCAAUCCUCCUGCUUCAACCUCCUAGGAUUACAAGACUACCACUAUGCCAAGCUUAAAUUACUUUUUGGAUAAAUGUUUAUAUUUAUUAGAUUGUUUAAAAAAAACAACUCUGAGAUAUAAAAAGCAUUUUCAGCUUAGAAUGGCUUAAACUGUAUUUACAAUACAAAUUUCAGAAAAGACGUUUUCUCUUUCUACCCUGGUCCAUGGCGAACCUCUUCUGAAGCAGCAUCCCAUUGGUUCUAGCUCACAAUUUCCAGUGGUAGAGGUGAAAGCUGAGAACUGAGGCUGUUUGUACUAAUAUAUAGUGACUAUUUACAUAGUCAUUCAGCUUGAAACUGUGCCUGGGACAGGCUGGGGACACGGUGGUGAUUAAGAGCUAACAUGGAAUUUGACCUCUUAGUGGUGAGGAGGCAAGCAAACAAACUCACACCUGAGGUUUUUUUCCAUGGACUGACUGCUCAUCAGAAGACUUAGCCUGCCUCAGUGUUUUACCCACCAGAGGGAUUUCUGCUGCAGAAAUGAGCACUCUAAACAAAAGGAAGCCAAGCCACCUGUCAGUGAGCAGCUAGCUGGUCUGGAGGGUGCAGGAUAUGGUUUGAGAGGGAUGCAGAGUGCUUUCCGUUGUAUAUGGAACAUCCCUGUUGCUUAAGACACACGGUGGGUAUUAUCAUCUUAUGCCUCUUCAUUACAAAGGAAUCAUUUCAUACUCGAGAUCCUUAAAAGGUAAAUUAGUGUUGCAGAAACAAAAACGGUCAAAAAAUUAAAAGCUACCUCCCCAAAGACCCGAUGGGAUAGAGGUAGAGGUUGUGUGUGAUAUAUACACCAGGCUAGCAAUGUACUUUCAUUUCUUUAGAAUAUGGGAGUCGCCUACGUCUUUGCCUCACUUCAUGGAAGAAGUCUAGUCCCAGAGGCAAAGCUCACCAGCUGACCAACAGUGGUUCAACUUCCCUGGGAGUUCCUGAGAAAGAAAGGGCCUCUGGCCCAACGUAAGACCUCUGGCUGCCAGGUAUGCAUUUCCCAUGUGUGCUAACACUUCUGGAUGCCCUUCAGAUCAACCGAUCACUCUAAUUAGGCUCAUAGGAGUGUUUUUGUUUAUUUUGAGUUUUUUUUUUCCUUUAAAAAUGUCCUGAGACAAUGACAUUGAGUAUUUAAGUUCUUAGCAUCAGGUAUUGGAAAAAGAAGGAAGAAUGGACUCUUCCUAGUAUCUGAAAUGACAGUAACCCAUUGAUACCUCGCUUUGUUUCUCUUCCUCAUGGAGGGCAUCCAGGUAUCGAGACAAGUUGCCUCAGGAAAAACACUUGAGGUAAGUGUACUUUGUGGUCCUUCUGCAUAUUCACACAAUGGGUACACUUUCAAGUUCUCUCACCUACACACACACACACACACACACACACACACACACACACACACACACUCCAAGGGUACAAUCACUUAAUACCCCCAACAAUAAUUACCAUAAAAUGCUCAAAAAAAUGAAAUUAUUAUGCCUUCAUUGAGUUUGCUUUACCAUGAACUGUUAAGGGAAUUAGUACUUUUUUGUGUGUUAUUAGAGUAAAGCAUUUUUAACUCAUUUUUGGGAUGUGCAUUGAUGUGUAUGCAUGUAUGUGUGAACAUCAUGUGUCAUGAGCUGAUCACCUUGUUUUAGGAGACAGGAUUUCUCACUGAGACCUGGGGAUCACAAGAGAACCCCUAGUCUCUCCCCAGAGCUAGGAUUACAAACACGUGCCACCAUUCCUGACUUUUUAUGUGGGUCCUGGGAUCAAACUCACAUCUUUGUGGGCUAGGAUACCUCUUUUUCAUUUUUUGACAUGUACAGGACAGUAUACCGCAGGACACUGCUACGCAACAGAUCUCCAGAAUGUCUUUUAUCUUGCGUGACUGAAACCUCAUCCCCAGUGAACUGGUAACUCAUCAGCAGCCCCUGGCCAUUGCCAUUCAACUUUCUGAUUAUGAAUUUGAUAACUUUUUAAAUACCUCAUCAUAAGUGUAAACAUGCAGUAUCUGUGUUCUGUGAUUGGCUCUUUUCACGUUGCACAAUGCCCUGUAGCAUGAUAGAGUCCAGUCUUCCCUCCCCUUCCAAAUUGAGUAGUAGUCCAUUGCAUAAACUCAUGCGCCGCUGACAGGUUACUCCCACACUUAGCUACUGUGAAUAAUGAAGCAAUAAACACAUCUAUCAUAUACUCCUCAAGACUCUUCUAUUGUAUAAGUAUGGUUGAUAAUCAGAAGUGGGAUAGCUAACUCAUAUGGUAAUUUUUCUUUUCUUUUCUUUUGAGUCGUCUACAGGAGUUUCUACAGAUCCAGUGUCUGCACUGAAAACUACUCCAACAGCACAUCUGGCCCCAAGCUCUCUCUCCACAGCCUUGCCCUUCUGCGCCAUUUUUCUCCAGGGGCCACACUAUUAAGUACACUAUUAGCUGACGGCUCCUACGGUUUUAGCUUUCAUUCCCCUGAUUAUCAGUGACGGUGAGCAUCUCUCUGGAGUCUUACUGACAAUUCAUUUAUUUUCGUCAUAGAAAGUUCUGUUCAAACCUUUCUCCAUUAAAAAAAAAGACAUUUCUGUUAUCGAGUUCUUUGAACAUUACAGCUACAUGGUUUGUAAAUGUUUUUCCCCCAUUCUAUAGACGGUCUUUGACUCUGCUUCUGUUGACUGCUUUGCUAUAACAUUUUUGAUUAAUUUCAAUCAGUAAACUAUCUAUCCACUUUAGUUCUUUA
rnacentral:sRNA from 1 species